rnacentral:rRNA from 1 species
CAGUAGCCGCGGUAAUACGUAGGGUGCGAGCGUUAAUCGGAAUUACUGGGCGUAAAGCGUGCGCAGGCGGUUAUAUAAGACAGAUGUGAAAUCCCCGGGCUUAACCUGGGAACUGUAUUUGUGACUGGCGAGCUAGAGUAUGGCAGAGGGGGGUAGAAUUCCACGUGUAGCAGUGAAAUGCGUAGAGAUGUGGAGGAAUACCGAUGGCGAAGGCAGCCCUCUGGGCCAAUACUGACGCUCAUGCACGAAAGCGUGGGGAGCAAACAGGAUUAGAUACCCGUGUAGUCACUGUCUCUUAUAC